ensembl:miRNA aca-mir-5442 aca-mir-5442
CAUGGCCUGAUGAAGGGGCACAGUUUCCCCAUGUCUAUUAGCCAAGGCAAAACAGCUGACAGGCAAGGGGAAGCGGUACUUCUCCAUCAGGCUGCC